rnacentral:misc_RNA from 1 species
AUCUCAGCCAUGGCCACCUCA